CCUACGGGAGGCUGCAGUGGGGGAUAUUGGACAAUGGGGGGAACCCUGAUCCAGCGACGCCGCGUGAGUGAAGACGUAUUUCGGUAUGUAAAGCUCUGUCAGCAGGGAAGAAAGAAAUGACGGUACCUGACCAAGAAGCCCCGGCUAACUACGUGCCAGCAGCCGCGGUAAUACGUAGGGGGCAAGCGUUAUCCGGAAUUACUGGGUGUAAAGGGAGCGUAGACGGUUAAGUAAGUCUGGAGUGAAAGGCCGGGGCCCAACCCCGGGACUGCUCUGGAAACUAUUGAACUUGAGUGCAGGGGAGGUAAGCGGAAUUCCUAGUGUAGCGGUGAAAUGCGUAGAUAUUAGGAGGAACACCAGUGGCGAAGGCGGCUUACUGGACUGUAACUGACGUUGAGGCACGAAAGCGUGGGUAUCGAACAGGAUUAGAUACCCCUGUAGUC
rnacentral:rRNA from 1 species